ACCAGCACGUAUGUGGGCGACUCUAAGGAGACUGCCGGUGGCAAACCGGAGGAAGGUGGGGAUGACGUCAAGUCAUCAUGGCCCUUACGGCCUGGGCUACACACGUGCUACAAUGGUCGGUACAAAGGGUUGCCAAGCCGCGAGGUGGAGCUAAUCCCAUAAAACCGAUCGUAGUCCGGAUCGCAGUCUGCAACUCGACUGCGUGAAGUCGGAAUCGCUAGUAAUCGUGAAUCAGAAUGUCACGGUGAAUACGUUCCCGGGCCUU
rnacentral:rRNA from 1 species